UCGAGAAUAAUUCGCAAUGGGCGAAAGCCUGACGCAGCAACGCCGCGUGAGCGAAGAAGGCCUUCGGGUUGUAAAGCUCUGUCAGGAGGGACGAAGCCACUCGGGUGAACAGCCCAGAGGGUGACGGUACCUCCAGAGGAAGCCCCGGCUAACUACGUGCCAGCAGCCGCGGUAAUACGUAGGGGGCGAGCGUUGUCCGGAAUCAUUGGGCGUAAAGCGCGUGUAGGCGGCUUGGCAAGUCUGGUGUGAAAGCUCGAGGCUCAACCUCGAGUCUGCACCGGAAACUGCCUUGCUAGAGUCCGGAAGAGGAGACUGGAAUUCCUGGUGUAGCGGUGAAAUGCGCAGAUAUCAGGAAGAACACCGGUGGCGAAGGCGGGUCUCUGGGACGGUACUGACGCUGAGACGCGAAAGCGUGGGGAGCAAACA
rnacentral:rRNA from 1 species